rnacentral:lncRNA from 1 species
CACUUUCUUGAUUUUAAUCCAUUGCUUCUUUAUGGAUUUCAAUGAAUAGCUUCUCCAAGAGUGGAACAAAUAGAUGGUUACAUGGAUCUUAGGAAGUCUUUCUCUUUUAAUCAGAAGUAGAUUCUAGUAUCACGGUUUUUAUGUCUAUAAAAUUAGGAACUGGACGCUAAAUCCAAAUAAUCACUUUGGGUAAUCAUGAUAACAAAUACGUACUAGUAUAUCAUGUUUGAUCUGAAGUUAUGAGAUUGAGUCCAAUACGUGAGAUACCAGUCAGGGGUAAGUCUGCAGUCAGGAACGGGAGACUCAUUCUGCAGCAAAAGCAGUUGGAGCUGCAAUAAACCAACAGGGGGUUCAAUUUUGGGUUCACUGUUCUUCAGACUUCUUUAUUAUAUUUUUCCCCUUUAAAGAUAACCUUGAUGUGCACUUUAUUAGACUUCAGCAGAAUAAGAAUGUCUGGACUUGGAUGGGUACCUAGCACAGAUUACACGUCAACCUCGGUCUGUGUGCCUUCUACAAACCACACCUGGUAGGGAGUGGAUAUGGAAGAACAUGCAAAUAAAAAAUUCAUGAAAGAUCUGGUUUAUUAAGAAACGUCUGUUUGAAACUUCCUGGCUCCAUCCAUGUAUUAGUAUCCUUGCAAAUAAUUUGCGCAGUUUUCAACGUAUUUUAGUAAAGUCCUGGAAGAGCAAAGGAACAAAGACCUGCAGGAUUCCUUCCGGGAGAGUAGCAGGCUGACUAGGACUGGACAGAGAAAUCACCCAGAGUGAUGAAUCAAUUUCUAACAGUGAUAGCAUUGGAGGAAGAGGCUUUUUAAAAUAAAAAUGGGAGCACAAGAUGCACUUUGAAACAUUUAAAAGAUACGCACAGAAGUCUAUCAUAAAACAGUGUUUUAUGGUUGGAGUAAGUAAGCAGCUGGAUACCACUUUGUUUGAUUUGUCCAGAAGAGUGG